ACAAGUACCGUGAGGGAAAGUUGCAAAGCACUUUGAAGAGAGAGUUAAACAGGACGUGAACCCGGUAGGAUGGAAACGGAUAGAGCCAGCGAAGCCGCUUGCAUUCAGCCAAAGGCCUGGGGCUCCCAGUCGUCGGGUUUCUCAUCGAGCUCGGCGGUUGGCGCUGCCUCGGGUUGAGGUGCACUUGCGGGCGUUUGCGCUGAGACUUGCGUGGCAGCUGUCGGACCCGAGGACUAGAGGCUUCCCUCUGGGUUGAACCUGGUUCCGGUGACGGCUGUUUGCCGUGCUCGUACACGGGGCCUGGGGUGCUCGGCUCUGCGGCGGUUCCCUGGCGGUGGUAUCGCAUGCGAUGCCUAGCCUGGGGGCUGCCGUUGGGCUUGGCCACCGGGCCCGCUCUCGGUGUAGAAGCUGGUCAUCUCUCCGACCCGUCUUGAAACACGGACCAAGGAGUUUAGCGUAUGCGCGAGUCAUUGGGUGCUGAAAACCCAAAGGCGCAAUGAAAGUAAAGGCUCGGCCGCCGGGCUGACAUGCGAGCGGUGGGGCCUCGCAGCCUCGCCGUGCAGCAUGGUCCCGUCGUAGUCGCUUGCGACGCGGCGGAGACAGAGCGUAUGCGCUGAGACCCGAAAGAUGGUGAACUAUUCCUGAGCAGGACGAAGCCAGAGGAAACUCUGGUGGAAGUCCGAAGCGAUUCUGACGUGCAAAUCGAUCGUCUGACUUGGGUAUAGGGGCGAAAGACUAAUCGAACCAUCUAGUAGCUGGUUCCUUCCGA
rnacentral:rRNA from 1 species